AGGUCAUUUCAAAGAGGGCUUAUGAGACCAAAACCAGGAGCUCUUAAUGCUGUGACCAAAGACUGAAGUUCUCCACAGGAUGUAAUAGUCACUCAACAGUGCUAUGUCUUCCUGAGGAGAUAUAAGA
ensembl:snoRNA